rnacentral:rRNA from 1 species
UACGAAGGACCCAAGCGUUAUCCGGAUUUAUUGGGUUUAAAGGGUGCGUAGGCGGGUUGUUAAGUCAGUGGUGAAAGCUCCGAGCCUAACUCGGAAACUGCCAUUGAUACUGACGAUCUUGAGUACAUUUGAGGUGGGCGGAAUGUGUCAUGUAGCGGUGAAAUGCUUAGAUAUGACACAGAACACCGAUUGCGAAGGCAGCUCACUAGACUGUAACUGACGCUGAGGCACGAAAGCGUGGGGAGCAAACAGG